GCUAAACAGCUAGCUUAACCACUCAACAUUACUAUUACAAUAUUAAAUCACUUAAUAAAUGACCCCAAUCUAUUAAAUAAAACAUUUUUCCGCCUUAGUAUGGGAGACAGAAAAGGCAUACUCCUAAAGCAAUAACAAUAGUACCGCAAGGGAACGCUGAAAGAGAAAUGAAAUAAAUCAUACAAGCACAAUAAAGCAGAGAUUAAUCCUCGUACCUUUUGCAUCAUGAUUUAGCCAGCACUACUGAGCAAAGAGCCCUUUAGUUCAAAACCCCGAAACUAAGUGAGCUACCCCGGGACAGUCUAUCAAUUAGGACGAACCCGUCUCUGUGGCAAAAGAGUGGGAAGAUCCCCGGGUAGGGGUGACAGACCUAUCGAACUUAGUUAUAGCUGGUUGCCUAAGAAAUGAAUAGAAGUUCAGCCCGUAGUCCUCAACUCAUGAUAUACUUUAACGAGUUCGAGUAAAAUACGAGAGUUAGUUAGAGGGGGUACAGCCCCUCUAAAACAGGAUACAACCUCAUCAGGAGGUUAAAGAUUAGAUUAACCAAGACCUGCCGCCUUAGUGGGCCUGAAAGCAGCCACCAAAUUAGAAAGCGUUAAAGCUCAGACGGAUUAAUAGUCUAUUAUUCAAAUAUAAAAUCUUAAGCCCCUAAAUAUACUAGGCCACCCUAUGCUUUCAUAGAAGAGAUACUGCUAAAACGAGUAAUAAGAAGGAACUCCCUUCUCCCUGACCUACGUGUAUGCUAGAUCGAACUACUCACUAGCAAUUAUCGAACCCAAUAAAAGAGGGCACUGUGACUAUACUACAAAAGCUAGAAAACCUCACAUAACCUAAUCGUUAACCCUACACUGGGAGGCCAACUAAAGGAAAGACUAAAAGAAUAGAAAGGAACUCGGCAAAUACAAGCCUCGCCUGUUUACCAAAAACAUCGCCUCCUGCAAAAAUCAACGUAUAGGAGGUCUUACCUGCCCAGUGAUAACUUCAACGGCCGCGGUAUUUUGACCGUGCAAAGGUAGCGCAAUCACUUGUCUUUUAAAUAAAGACCUGUAUGAAAGGUGGAACGAAGGCUUAACUGUCUCCCUAUUCAAGUCAAUGAAACUGAUCUGCCCGUGCAGAAGCGGGCAUACAAAUACAAGACGAGAAGACCCUUUGGAGCUUUAGACACAAGAUCACCUAUGUCAAUGGCCCCUCCAUGCUAAACUAUAUAGAAACCUUGAUCCCAGUCUUUUGUUGGGGCGACCGCGGGAAAAAAUAAAACUCCCAUGAGGACUGGGAUUAUGUGUCCCAAAACCAAGAAAGACAUUUCUAAGUCACAGAACAUCUGACCACAAAUGAUCCGGUUAAACACCGACCAACGAACCAAGUUACCCUAGGGAUAACAGCGCAAUCCCCUUCAAGAGUCCAUAUUAACAAGGGGGUUUACGACCUCGAUGUUGGAUCAGGACAUCCUAAUGGUGUAGCCGCUAU
rnacentral:rRNA from 1 species